CACAGGGAAGAGAAGCUCACGUACCCCACGCCGGCAUCUCUGUCACCUCGCCAGGCCCUCUGAGCACUUCAUUCAUAGUUGGGAGGAGUGUAACCUACACGUCAGCAUAGACUGUCCUACCUUAGAAAGAAGAGCAUCUGUGCCAACUCACCACGCCAUACUUCCCAUUCUCUCCCCUCCACCCAGUUCUGUUACAUGAAUACUACAAAACGCCGGGCUCUACAAUGACUCGACAUCUUCCUGCAGAAAUACAAGCAAGCACCGGACUCGGGCCGAUGCGCCACCU